AGCGAAUGCUGGCGGCAGGCUUAACACAUGCAAGUCGAGCGGGCAUCUUCGGGUGUCAGCGGCGGACGGGUGAGUAACGCGUGGGAACGUGCCUUCUGGUUCGGAAUAAAUCAGGGAAACUUGAGCUAAUACCGGAUACGCCCUUUUGGGGAAAGGGUUACUGCCGGAAGAUCGGCCCGCGUCUGAUUAGCUAGGUGGUGGGGUAACGGCCUACCAAGGCGACGAUCAGUAGCUGGUCUGAGAGGAUGAUCAGCCACACUGGGACUGCGACACGGCCCAGACUCCUACGGGCGGCAGCAGUGGGGAAUAUUGGACAAUGGGCGCAAGCCUGAUCCAGCCAUGCCGCGUGAGUGAUGAAGGCCUUAGGGUUGUAAAGCUCUUUUAUCCGGGACGAUAAUGACAGUACCGGAGGAAUAAGCCCCGGCUAACUUCGUGCCAGCCGCCGCCGUAA
rnacentral:rRNA from 1 species